CCUUGGUCCAACAAAAAGCGUGUUAAAAGGUUUCUUCUUUGAGCACUAAUUAUAUGUCGGACUAUUCUCAAUUAUUGAUGCUAAGAGCUGGUCCCACACUUCGGUAUAAAUAUCAUCACGUUCUAUUAGAGAGAGCAAAAAACUAACACACUUGUGUAGAAUGGGGGUGGUGCAUAUAUUCUCGAAGCCACUAACAUGCACAGAUGUAGCAUCGAGGUUAACAAUCCCAAGUGAAAGCUUAGAGCACUUUCCUAAGAUUUCUGAGGAGCAUCACUCAAUAAAUUUUACUGUCCUAGACUUGGAAGGGCAUCCAUGGCGUUUUUAUCUCUUUACCUGGAGAAGAGGUGCACACCCAAAACCUGUUCUUAAUGGAAGAGAUUGGCUUGCCUUUGUAAAGGCCAAAUGUCUAAAAGAAGGGGAUAUAAUAACUUUCUCAAAAGAAGCAGAUGAGACCAAUGGAGUGAUAUUUAGAAUCCAAGCAUGCAAAACAAAUAUGACGUUCCGUUGCCAAUAUUAUUAGGUUGAAUAAAAUUACGGCUAUAAUUUUUAAAUAAAA